GAAAUGCGAUAAGUAAUGCGAAUUGCAGAAUUCCGUGAGUCAUCGAAUCUUUGAACGCACAUUGCGCCCUUUGGUAUUCCGAAGGGCAUGCCUAUUCGAGCGUCAUUAUCAACCCUCAAGUCUAACUUGGUGUUGGGAGUUUGAAGGAAUUUUUCUUCUCUCCUCAAAGAUAAUGACCGAGAUUUGAACUGGUUUAAUACACCGAGCUGAUUUCAGCAGUGUUGAACUUUCGUUUUUGUCGACGUCUGAAUUUAUUUAUUCUUUUUUCAGGUUGACCUCGAAUUAGGUAGGAAUACCCGCUGAACUUAA
rnacentral:misc_RNA from 1 species